rnacentral:rRNA from 1 species
GCUCAGAUUGAACGCUGGCGGCAGGCCUAACACAUGCAAGUCGAACGGUAACAGGAAGAAGCUUGCUUCUUUGCUGACGAGUGGCGGACGGGUGAGUAAUGUCUGGGAAACUGCCUGAUGGAGGGGGAUAACUACUGGAAACGGUAGCUAAUACCGCAUAACGUCGCAAGACCAAAGAGGGGGACCUUCGGGCCUCUUGCCAUCGGAUGUGCCCAGAUGGGAUUAGCUUGUUGGUGGGGUAACGGCUCACCAAGGCGACGAUCCCUAGCUGGUCUGAGAGGAUGACCAGCCACACUGGAACUGAGACACGGUCCAGACUCCUACGGGAGGCAGCAGUGGGGAAUAUUGCACAAUGGGCGCAAGCCUGAUGCAGCCAUGCCGCGUGUAUGAAGAAGGCCUUCGGGUUGUAAAGUACUUUCAGCGGGGAGGAAGGGAGUAAAGUUAAUACCUUUGCUCAUUGACGUUACCCGCAGAAGAAGCACCGGCUAACUCCGUGCCAGCAGCCGCGGUAAUACGGAGGGUGCAAGCGUUAAUCGGAAUUACUGGGCGUAAAGCGCACGCAGGCGGUUUGUUAAGUCAGAUGUGAAAUCCCCGGGCUCAACCUGGGAACUGCAUCUGAUACUGGCAAGCUUGAGUCUCGUAGAGGGGGGUAGAAUUCCAGGUGUAGCGGUGAAA